AUUGUUGCUCCAACUCUCAGAGCGGGUAGAUGUCGAGUACAGGAGAAGGAUAGCUGUAAAUGGUUAGUUAUUUUUUACCCCUGCCUUCGCUAACAGAAGAAACUGAGUUUGUAUUUUCCCGUGGUUUUCCUAAGUACCGUUGAGGAGAACUUCUUUUCACAUGAUGUCAGACUGCGAGGGACUGCCUGUGGGUUCUGGUCUUGGUUCUGCUAUUGGCUCGCUUGAAUGCUUCCAGAAAAGCCAUUUAACCUCUCUGCUAAUCAGCGUCUGUAGAAGAGCUCUCAACUUUACCAAAUGCUUAUGAUUACUACACAUGAAAAACACUAUGUAAGUGCUAUUACCAGGGCAGCCAACUUCAGCAAGCAAGAAGACCACCAGAGAAUUGUGUUCAGAAUUACAGCUGGGAUUGCAGUGGGUUUCUCUUCUGCUUAAGAAAGACACUGAAACAAAAAGCAUAACAAACAUGCUAAAGAAAAAUCAAUGCAGUGUUUGGAACAGAGAUUUGUGCCUAGCUGGCUUGGAGGCUGGAGAAGACGGAAAUGGAUCAGACUUCUACCCCAAGUACAUGGCAUUAAUUUAUCUUUAACUAAAAAAUAACAUGUUCCUGACUUAAAAAAAAACAAACAACUAACCCAAAAUAAAACAACCCCCAACCCCUUGAGUCAUUAUGGGAAAAAUAAAAAAACUAUUGCUUCUGUUCUACUCUAUGUAACUUCAUGAGCUUGAUUGGAAUUAUUCCAGACACAAAUUUGGUUGUAGUCAUUUACAUUACAGAAAGCUCUUUUAAAUAAAAAUUAAAUUGAACUAGCUUUGCAAACCCCCAAAA